GAUGAACGCUGGCGGCGUGCCUAAUACAUGCAAGUCGAGCGAACGGACGAGAAGCUUGCUUCUCUGAUGUUAGCGGCGGACGGGUGAGUAACACGUGGAUAACCUACCUAUAAGACUGGGAUAACUUCGGGAAACCGUAGCUAAUACCGGAUAAUAUUUUGAACCGCAUGGUUCAAAAGUGAAAGACGGUCUUGCUGUCACUUAUAGAUGGAUCCGCGCUGCAUUAGCUAGUUGGUAAGGUAACGGCUUACCAAGGCAACGAUGCAUAGCCGACCUGAGAGGGUGAUCGGCCACACUGGAACUGGGACACGGUCCAGACUCCUACGGGAGGCAGCAGUAGGGAACCUUCCGCAAUGGGCGAAAGCCUGACGGGGCAACGCCGCGUGGGGGAUGAGGGUCUUCGGAUCGUAAAACUCUGUUAUUAGGGAGAAACAGAUGUGUAAGUAACUGUGCACAUCUUGACGGUACCUAAUCAGAAAGCCACGGCUAACUACGUG
rnacentral:rRNA from 1 species